ACUGAGGCUGUCCCACCCUUCCUGUGUCCCUUGAGCUGAGCAGGCACUUCCUGUCCUUUUGGAAAUGAAAGUUAGAGAUUGGGGGUUACUCCUACAAGGACAUUCCUUGGAAACUAUUAGAGCUCGGAGACAACUCGAAGCAGACAUCCCAAAUCUGUGGACUUUAGUUUAGACAUAAAUUCCAGGUUUGGCCUCUUAUCCUCCUGAACACAUGAUCCAUCAGCCAGGCUGAACAGUGGAAAGGUUUGGUAAUACAGAGUAACACUCAAUAAGGUCUCAGUUGUGUCCUGCUCAUAUUCUUCCCAGGCAACUAGCUAUCCUAUUCAUACUUCAACUGCUUAACCUUCAAAGAUCAAA